CGUCAACCAAACAAGUCCAUAAUGUAAUUCAAUUUCCUUAGAUGAUUUAUUGAUCUUAGAGAUGUUUGAAGAAUUAGAUGAUCUAAAAGAAGAUCUUGAUCUAGAUGAUGAUGAGAAAAAAUCAUAAGAUAGCCUUUUUUCAAUGAUAGUUAUGAGACCUAAUGUGAUUAAUCAGGCCCCAAGCUAUUCUUGCCACCCAAAAAACCCAUUGACAUUAAACAUUUCGGGUUUAAAGGUUAAGACUUCCUCAGCACCUCUGAUAUAUGGUAUGGAUAUAAGGAACUUCAUUUAUGAGGAUUUUAAUAGAGCUGCAAAUAGA
rnacentral:lncRNA from 1 species